GUUAAAAAGCUCGUAGUUGGAUUUCUGUAGUGGGAUGCCGGCCGGGUUCUCUGAACUUGUAGCUAGGUUAUCUUGCUGCAUCUUGUCGUAAUUCUCACUGGCAUUCAUUUGUUGGUGUAGAGGACCGACUCGUUUACUUUGAGAAAAUUAGAGUGUUUAAAGCAGGCUAUAGCUUUGAAUAUGUUAGCAUGGAAUAAUAAUAUAGGACUUUACGUUCUAUUUUGUUGGUUGUUCGAGGACGUAAGUAAUGAUUGAUAGGGACAGUUGGGGGCAUCAGUAUUCUGAAGCGAGAGGUGAAAUUCUUGGACCUUCGGAAGACUAACAACUGCGAAAGCAUUUGCCUAGGAUGUUCUCUUUAAUCAAGAACGAAGGUUGGGGGAUCGAAGACGAUCAGAUACCGUCGUAGUCUCAACUAUAAACUAUGCCAACUAGGGAUGGGGCAAUGUUUAAUUACGACUUGCUCCGCACCUUAUGAGAAAUCAAAGUAUUUGGGUUCCGGGGGGAGUAUGGUCGCAAGGCUGAAACUUAAAGGAAUUGACGGGAGGGCACCACCAGGAGUGGAGCCUGUGGCUAAUUUUGACUCA
rnacentral:rRNA from 1 species